rnacentral:rRNA from 1 species
CAGCAGCCACGGGAAUACGAAGGGUGCAAGCGUUACUCGGAAUUACUGGGCGUAAAGCGUGCGUAGGUGGUGGUUUAAGUCCGUUGUGAAAGCCCUGGGCUCAACCUGGGAAUUGCAGUGGAUACUGGGUCACUAGAGUGUAGUAGAGGAUAGUGGAAUUUCCGGUGUAGCAGUGAAAUGCGUAGAGAUCGGAAGGAACAUCUGUGGCGAAGGCGACUAUCUGGGCCAACACUGACACUGAGGCACGAAAGCGUGGGGAGCAAACAGGAUUAGAUACCCCGUAGUCCCUGUCUCUUAUACA